AGCCGCUAUUCACAGUAUGUACAGAACAAAACCAACCCGACCGAUGCACUGAACUGAACCACGUACAAAAAUAAAGACUCUACGGGGCGCCCCCCCCGCCCCGCGGAAAAUAGAAAUCAGUCGCUACAGCACAGUGCUCAAACAUGGCAGCGCUGCCCCCACCGGGCCCCAGCUGGCGCCUGCCGCAGGCCCAGUGGCACAUCGCUCAGGUGGGCCCUGCCCACGUUCCUCACCCCAGGCCCCCCCCAGGGCAGCCCCCGGCUGCAGGACCCUGGAGAGCUGCUCUGCAGUGCUGCCCGCCAGGGUCUGCGAGGCCAUGGUGGGAGGGGGGUGCUCAGUCCACCCCACGCGUCUGCCCCGGGCCGGAGGCCCCGCAGCGGGAACCCCGCAGGGCUAGUGUCUCACUGCAGGCACAGCCGCCAGGGCUCAGCCCCUGCCGUUUGGUCGUUACCGGCUGGCUGCUCCUGGCACUGGCGCAGGAGAGGGCCGGGGCCCUCGGGAGCCCGAGCGGGUCAGUUAAAGCCCUUGGGAGCUGGGCGCUCUGGCUUCCCGCUGGCCUCAGUGCCCCAGAGCCAAUGAAACAGACGCCCCCAGUGGCAGGGCCAGAGUCCCGAGGGUCGGCCCCCUGGAACGCCCGGUUCCCACAGUGGUGACAGGCUGGCCAGGGGGCAGGGGCCUAACGCUGCAGAGGGCACCAGGUGGACGGUCCGGAGCCCAGCGCCCCCUGAAUCCAGCUUUGACUAUCCCCUGGGCGCCCCCCUGCAGCGGCGGUGCCCGCAGCCCGGCUGCUGUCUGGGGGUGGGGUUGGCUAGUCAUCUUAAAGUGAAGUGAAACUGGUUUCCAGCUGCUCGGUGGGGGGCGGGGGGCAGGGGAGCAGCUGCCUGAUCCAAUCAAUCCAUGCGGCUGGAGCGCCGGCUUUGUGCAAACGGCCACAGAGGAAGACUUGGCUGGCUAGUCGCUCGCAGAGCAGCUGCUUUGGGGGGGGAGGGCUGGAGUUUUGCCAUUUAGAUCCCCCUUUUCAAAAGUUAACCCCCAUCUCAUCCUCCCAGGAAAGGGGGAGCUAUGGCCUCAAUGGGGGAGGGGAAAGGGGACGAAAUGAACCCCCAAGCAAUGGGAGAAAAAAAUCUGAUUACAGAAAAAUAAAAACUUCUCUCCCCCCCACACGUUCCAAAAAUAAUUAAUAUACAAUAAAUUACCAGGUGCUUUAAAAUAACCCAGAGCCCACAACCAUCCCCUCCCCCCACAAUAAUAAAUUAAAAUCAUCCGAACCACCGUUGGGCGGCCCAGAGCAGCCGGCAGAGACCCCAGGCCAGAUGGAGGCCGGCUGAGGGGUCCCAGCCAGGCCGGUGCGCAGGGCUGCGGGGCGCAGAGUCGGCUCCCCCCUUCGCUCCGAUCCCGCUGCUCUGUGUUCAGUCCUGAUUGUUUA